CAGUUCCUAGGAAAUUCCAGUAUCACAGCCGAGAUUCCUUGGGAGCCUGAAGCUGUAAGAGCAGUGUGGGAUAGAGUACACCAAAUUGAAAACUACAGACAUGAUUCAGGUCCAAUGGGAAACUCAAAAACAGAAUCUCAAAAAGAUGACCUGUCCCACAGUGAUCUUCUAGUGGCCACAGCAAACCUCCAACCUAGCAGCUGUGCUUAGAGAUGGGCCUACUGAGGACCUGUACAUUUUCUUCAUGAACCCCGGGAAGACCAAGUUUUGAUCCGUUUUUACCCGGGAUGCUGUGUUUAUCCUGCUUAGCUGCUAUCCUUUGUAGCUUCCUUGAAAUGUUCCUGAACCUGCCUCUCCAAAUUGACACAUAGGCCAAGGGAGAAACUCUUCAUGAAGUUAAACAGCAAUCUGCACAUGUAUUUGAACUUUGGGCCCAGAAGAUUCUCUAGCAAUCCUAUGGAAAAAUCUACGUUGUAUCUUUAGCAGGAAGGAGUGCUGGGACUUGGUUCCAGAACGCUACACAUGGGAGGGAAGCCAUCUGCACAAUUCAUUGUAAUUUCUUCUGAUUGUACUUACAUGACUCAGUUUUUGCUUGUGCAGGAGGAUUAUAAUAAACAGUACCGAUUUCAA